rnacentral:lncRNA from 1 species
GAGGACGGGGUGCCGGACGGAGGAGGGAGGACACAGGGAUGACGUACAACGGCGCGGAUGGAAGCGGAGGACGAUGGCGUGGACAGAGAGGAGGCGGCGACGGGGAUGAAGACUACUGAUGGUGACGCGGACAGAGGCGGCGGUGCGACGCGCGCGGAUCCGGUUACGGAGACGAUGUGGAGGCUAGAUGUGGCAGAUCCACUUCGGAUUAGCUUGAUUAAACAGGGUUAAGCCGCCUAACAUGCGACACCCAUGCCUAAGCCAAGUUAACACGAAGUGCCGUCGGAUUUCAUCCGAUUAACCACUUGAACAGGAUCGAGUUAGCAAACUCACACGAAGGUGAGUGGUUCCAGAGAAUACAACGAGUCCACUGAGUUAAACAAUUUAACCAUUUAGUUCGGCCAUAAAAACUCACAUCAGAGUUUUACAAGGUUCAAAAGAAAAC